GUUGUAUGGUUAAGUGACUAAGCGUACACGGUGGAUGCCUGGGCAGUCAGAGGCGAUGAAGGACGUACUAACUUGCGAUAAGCGCAGAUAAGGCAGUAAGAGCCGUUUGAGUCUGCGAUUUCCGAAUGGGGAAACCCAACUGCAUAAGCAGUUACUGUUAACUGAAUACAUAGGUUAACAGAGCAAACCGGGGGAACUGAAACAUCUAAGUACCCCGAGGAGAAGAAAUCAACCGAGAUUCCGGUAGUAGCGGCGAGCGAACCUGGAUUAGCCCUUAAGCACUCGGUGAAGUAGGUGAACAAGCUGGAAAGCUUGGCGAUACAGGGUGAUAGCCCCGUAACCGACGCUUCAUCGAGCGUGAAAUCGAGUAGGGCGGGACACGUGAUAUCCUGUCUGAAUAUGGGGGGACCAUCCUCCAAGGCUAAAUACUCCUGACUGACCGAUAGUGAACCAGUACCGUGAGGGAAAGGCGAAAAGAACCCCUGUGAGGGGAGUGAAAUAGAACCUGAAACCGUGUACGUACAAGCAGUAGGAGCACCUUCGUGGUGUGACUGCGUACCUUUUGUAUAAUGGGUCAGCGACUUAUAUUCAGUGGCAAGGUUAACCGUAUAGGGGAGCCGUAGCGAAAGCGAGUCUUAACUGGGCGCUCAGUCUCUGGAUAUAGACCCGAAACCGGGUGAUCUAGCCAUGGGCAGGUUGAAGGUUGAGUAACAUCAACUGGAGGACCGAACCGACUAAUGUUGAAAAAUUAGCGGAUGACUUGUGGCUAGGGGUGAAAGGCCAAUCAAACUCGGAGAUAGCUGGUUCUCCCCGAAAGCUAUUUAGGUAGCGCCUCGGACGAAUACUACUGGGGGUAGAGCACUGUUAAGGCUAGGGGGUCAUCCCGACUUACCAACCCUUUGCAAACUCCGAAUACCAGUAAGUACUAUCCGGGAGACACACGGCGGGUGCUAACGUCCGUCGUGGAGAGGGAAACAACCCAGACCGCCAGCUAAGGUCCCAAAGUAUUGCUAAGUGGGAAACGAUGUGGGAAGGCUCAGACAGCUAGGAUGUUGGCUUAGAAGCAGCCAUCAUUUAAAGAAAGCGUAAUAGCUCACUAGUCGAGUCGGCCUGCGCGGAAGAUGUAACGGGGCUAAGCAAUACACCGAAGCUGCGGCAAUGAAGUUUACUUCAUUGGGUAGGGGAGCGUUCUGUAAGCCGUUGAAGGUGAAUCGUAAGGUUUGCUGGAGGUAUCAGAAGUGCGAAUGCUGACAUGAGUAACGACAAAGGGGGUGAAAAACCUCCUCGCCGGAAGACCAAGGGUUCCUGUCCAACGUUAAUCGGGGCAGGGUGAGUCGACCCCUAAGGUGAGGCCGAAAGGCGUAAUCGAUGGGAAACGGGUUAAUAUUCCCGUACUUCUGACUAUUGCGAUGGGGGGACGGAGAAGGCUAGGUGGGCCAGGCGACGGUUGUCCUGGUUCAAGUGCGUAGGCUUGAGAGUUAGGUAAAUCCGGCUCUCUUUAAGGCUGAGACACGACGUCGAGCUGCUACGGCAGUGAAGUCAUUGAUGCCAUGCUUCCAGGAAAAGCCUCUAAGCUUCAGAUAGUCAGGAAUCGUACCCCAAACCGACACAGGUGGUCGGGUAGAGAAUACCAAGGCGCUUGAGAGAACUCGGGUGAAGGAACUAGGCAAAAUGGUACCGUAACUUCGGGAGAAGGUACGCUCUUGAUGGUGAAGUCCCUCGCGGAUGGAGCUGACGAGAGUCGCAGAUACCAGGUGGCUGCAACUGUUUAUUAAAAACACAGCACUGUGCAAAAUCGCAAGAUGACGUAUACGGUGUGACGCCUGCCCGGUGCCGGAAGGUUAAUUGAUGGGGUUAGCGCAAGCGAAGCUCUUGAUCGAAGCCCCGGUAAACGGCGGCCGUAACUAUAACGGUCCUAAGGUAGCGAAAUUCCUUGUCGGGUAAGUUCCGACCUGCACGAAUGGCGUAAUGAUGGCCACGCUGUCUCCACCCGAGACUCAGUGAAAUUGAAAUCGCUGUGAAGAUGCAGUGUACCCGCGGCUAGACGGAAAGACCCCGUGAACCUUUACUACAGCUUGGCACUGAACAUUGAACCUACAUGUGUAGGAUAGGUGGGAGGCUAUGAAGACGUGACGCCAGUUGCGUUGGAGCCGUCCUUGAAAUACCACCCUUGUAUGUUUGAUGUUCUAACUUAGACCCAUUAUCUGGGUUGAGGACAGUGCCUGGUGGGUAGUUUGACUGGGGCGGUCUCCUCCCAAAGAGUAACGGAGGAGCACGAAGGUGGGCUAAUCACGGUUGGACAUCGUGAGGUUAGUGCAAUGGCAUAAGCCCGCUUAACUGCGAGAAUGACGGUUCGAGCAGAUGCGAAAGCAGGUCAUAGUGAUCCGGUGGUUCUGUAUGGAAGGGCCAUCGCUCAACGGAUAAAAGGUACUCCGGGGAUAACAGGCUGAUACCGCCCAAGAGUUCAUAUCGACGGCGGUGUUUGGCACCUCGAUGUCGGCUCAUCACAUCCUGGGGCUGAAGUCGGUCCCAAGGGUAUGGCUGUUCGCCAUUUAAAGUGGUACGCGAGCUGGGUUUAGAACGUCGUGAGACAGUUCGGUCCCUAUCUGCCGUGGGCGUUGGAAGAUUGAAGGGGGCUGCUCCUAGUACGAGAGGACCGGAGUGGACGAACCUCUGGUGUUCGGGUUGUGUCGCCAGACGCAUUGCCCGGUAGCUAAGUUCGGAAUUGAUAAGCGCUGAAAGCAUCUAAGCGCGAAGCGAGCCCUGAGAUGAGUCUUCCCUGAUACUUUAAGUAUCCUAAAGGGUUGUUCGAGACUAGAACGUUGAUAGGCAGGGUGUGUAAGCGUUGUGAGGCGUUGAGCUAACCUGUACUAAUUGCCCGUGAGGCUUAACCAUACAACACCCAAGGGGUUUUGUA
rnacentral:rRNA from 1 species